rnacentral:rRNA from 1 species
AGUGAACGCUGGCGGCGUGCCUAAUACAUGCAAGUCGAACGGACGAGUAAGAGCUUGCUCUUAUGAGUUAGUGGCGCACGGGUGAGUAAUGUAUAGCUAAUCUGCCCUACACUAGAGGACAACAGUUGGAAACGACUGCUAAUACUCUAUACUCCUCUCUAGCAUAAGUUAGAUAGGGAAAGUUUUUCGGUGUAGGAUGAGGCUAUAUUGUAUCAGCUAGUUGGUGAGGUAAUGGCUCACCAAGGCUAUGACGCAUAACUGGUCUGAGAGGAUGAUCAGUCACACUGGAACUGAGACACGGUCCAGACUCCUACGGGAGGCAGCAGUAGGGAAUAUUGCUCAAUGGGGGAAACCCUGAAGCAGCAACGCCGCGUGGAGGAUGACACUUUUCGGAGCGUAAACUCCUUUUGUUAGGGAAGAACAAUGACGGUACCUAACGAAUAAGCACCGGCUAACUCCGUGCCAGCAGCCGCGGUAAUACGGAGGGUGCAAGCGUUACUCGGAAUCACUGGGCGUAAAGGACGCGUAGGCGGAUUAUCAAGUCUCUUGUGAAAUCCUAUGGCUUAACCAUAGAACUGCUUGGGAAACUGAUAAUCUAGAGUGAGGGAGGGGCAGAUGGAAUUGGUGGUGUAGGGGUAAAAUCCGUAGAGAUCACCAGGAAUACCCAUUGCGAAGGCGAUCUGCUGGAACUCAACUGACGCUAAUGCGUGAAAGCGUGGGGAGCAAACAGG